UCCCUGGUGGUCCAGUGGUUAGGACUCUAAACUUUCACUGCAGGGGCCCCAGGUUUGAUUCCUGGUGGAGGAA
rnacentral:tRNA from 1 species